CCUACGGGUGGCAGCAGUAGGGAAUUUUCGUCAAUGGGCGCAAGCCUGAACGAGCGAUGCCGCGUGAGUGAAGAAGGCCUUCGGGUCGUAAAGCUCUGUUGCGGGGGAAAAAAGGCAGCAUCAGGAAAUGGGUGCUGACUGAUGGUGCCCCGCCAGAAAGUCACGGCUAACUACGUGCCAGCAGCCGCGGUAAUACGUAGGUGGCGAGCGUUAUCCGGAUUUAUUGGGUUUAAAGGGUGCGUAGGCGGGCUGUUAAGUCAGCGGUCAAAUGUCGGGACUCAACCCCGGCCUGCCGUUGAAACUGGCGGCCUCGAGUGGGCGAGAAGUAUGCGGAAUGCGUGGUGUAGCGGUGAAAUGCAUAGAUAUCACGCAGAACUCCGAUUGCGAAGGCAGCAUACCGGCGCCCUACUGACGCUGAGGCACGAAAGCGUGGGUAUCGAACAGGAUUAGAUACCCGGGUAGUC
rnacentral:rRNA from 1 species